GACGAACGCUGGCGGCGUGCUUAACACAUGCAAGUCGAACGGAAAGGAACUGCUUUUGUGGGGUGCUCGAGUGGCGACCGGGUGAGUAACACGUGAGUAACCUGCCCUUGACUUUGGGAUAACUUCAGGAAACUGGGGCUAAUACCGGAUAGGAGCUCCUGCUGCAUGGUGGGGGUUGGAAAGUUUCGGCGGUUGGGGAUGGACUCGCGGCUUAUCAGCUUGUUGGUGGGGUAGUGGCUUACCAAGGCUUUGACGGGUAGCCGGCCUGAGAGGGUGACCGGCCACAUUGGGACUGAGAUACGGCCCAGACUCCUACGGGAGGCAGCAGUGGGGAAUAUUGCACAAUGGGCGGAAGCCUGAUGCAGCAACGCCGCGUGCGGGAUGACGGCCUUCGGGUUGUAAACCGCUUUCGCCUGUGACGAAGCGUGAGUGACGGUAAUGGGUAAAGAAGCACCGGCUAACUACGUG
rnacentral:rRNA from 1 species